CCCUGUAUCGAAAGUGUCUGUGGAGUUUGUCUCCAGGUCAUUGAUAAUGCAGGGAUAUGAGUCUGAGAGCCUUUCCCUGUGUGUGGAGGAUCUGUGCCGUCACACCCUGUGGCACUCACACA
ensembl:snoRNA SNORA71 Small nucleolar RNA SNORA71